UGGCUUCUUGUCACAGCAUACAUUUAUAGAAAAUCGGGCAUACCAUUAGAGGGGAGACUCGAAGCUUGGUCCUGAAAAUGAUGUGCAAACAAAUGUGCUCUCCACCAAUGGGGUCAAGGUACGGCAAGGUAGAUACAAACCCUACAUUCUACCGAUUCCAAACUUCACAGAAAACCAAGUGGCCACAAGGUGUCAAGGUGAACUCUACCUGAAGCAUCUUAAAGCUGGUGAUAGGAAAAGCAGAAAGGGGUGUGCACUCUCUGGGUUCCCUGCUGUGCUUAUGCAGCCCCUCUGAUUAGCUACUUCUGGCUCAGACCAAAUGUGCAAUAAAUCAAAGAAGCAGUUGGAAUAGAGUGUGGUCACGGUGUUCCAUCAAUUCAUCAGUGACACCAAGUUCCA
rnacentral:lncRNA from 1 species